CCGGCCCUGUGGCUGAGUGGUUGGGUUCAUGAGCUCUGCUUCAGCAGCCCAGGGUUUUGCCAGUACCGAUCCUGGGCGCGGACAUGGCACCACUCAAGCCAUGCUGAGGCGGCGUCCCACAUGGACCCACAACUAAAAAUAUACAGUAUCGACUCACUUAAAUCUGAUCACCACCACAGAGAGAAAGUAGACGAUGCAGCUGGGAUUAGGAUCAGGCUGUCCGGUACCAGAGCAUUUCUGCUUGACUACUACUUUGCUUCAUGACACUCCAUCUGGCGGAAGGAAGAUGUACAUAUGCAAACCAGGAAGAGAAUUCUCACCAGAACUCGACCUUGCUGGCAUCCUGAUCUCGGACUCUCCAGCCUCCAGAACUCUUAAUGAAGAUUUUAGUCUUAUUGUGAGCAGCAUCAUUCAUGAUGGAAAAAAGUCUGCUUAGGUAGAACAACAAAAUCUCUCUCAAAAUAUUAGAAAAUAAAGGCAAACAAAUUGUUCAGAUCAUUUUCCCUGUUUUUUAAUCAACCAAAAGCCAUCUAAAACCCUGCCUGGGAUUCUGGGUUUCUGAAUAAAAGUACCAGUCCCUACUAUCAUCUACUACAUAAUGGCCACAUAUUCCACAAGUGUGUUGCUUCACAAAGCAGGAGGAUAGGAAAUUUUGGCUGCAAUCCCCACUCUGACUUAAAUCACCAAGUGACCUUAGGCAAGUCAUGGUAGCCUUCCUGAGCUCUUCUCUUCAUCCAUCAAAUUGGCAUCAUGAUACUGACAUAUCCUACACAGGGCUUUCAAAGUUUACAUAAGUAUGGGCAAGAGUUUUGAAAUAUUAUUAUCUCUGAUUGAAGUAUCCUGGAGAUGGCAAAGGUUCUACCUGAGUGUGUGUACACCUCACAAGUAAUCAAGUGAGUCCAAAAGGAAAAUGUGAAAGGAAGGGAGGGAGAGAAAGUGGAACCUGGAGGCUAUUCAGACCUUUCCUCUGUGACCAAGAUAACUUUUCAUACUUCAUCUCAUUUCCUCCUCUAUUCUACAUUCUUCAGCUUUAUGUGACUCAGGACAGGGUAUUAUUUAUAAUUACUAUACAAGCAAGGGCUUACUAUACAAGCAUGCACUUACUAUACAAGCAAGGGCUCUAGGAUUUAACUGUUGCAUCACACAAGACUUUUCAACCUCUUUUUACUUUCAAUGCAACCUACAUCACUUUAACCCAAAGGGAAGUUCUUUACAUUUAAGUGGAAACUGAAUUCAAAUACCCUUAUCAUUAUUUUAAAAGCAUUAUGUUGCAACAGAUCUUACAACUAUUCCCCAAUCCAGGUAUGUUUGAAACUGAAAUUAUAUUUUCCUGGGUUUUCUUAAUCUGCAUUCUAGAUUAAUUAAUAUUCUGAGCCUUCUUCCCAACUGUCCUUCACUUACACUUGCAACAGACCUGAGACAUAUAAAGAAAAACUGAGGCACCAUUCAUUUACAAGGUUUCUCCCUGGAGACAAAGAAGAUCACUAACCUUUG
rnacentral:lncRNA from 1 species